UACGGAGGGGGCUAGCGUUGUUCGGAAUUACUGGGCGUAAAGCGCACGUAGGCGGCUUUGUAAGUUAGAGGUGAAAGCCCGGGGCUCAACCCCGGAAUAGCCUUUAAGACUGCAUCGCUUGAACGUCGGAGAGGUGAGUGAAUUCCGAGUGUAGAGGUGAAAUUCGUAGAUAUUCGGAAGAACACCAGUGGCGAAGGCGGCUCACUGGACGACUGUUGACGCUGAGGUGCGAAAGCGUGGGGAGCAAACAGG
rnacentral:rRNA from 1 species